CAUUAGGUGGCUGAAAGUAAGCACUGGUCUCUUAAACCACUAUAUAGUAAUUUCACACCUACUUCUAAUGG
rnacentral:tRNA from 1 species